UAUUUGUUAUAGUUAUGUGUUUUAGUUAUUUGCUUUAGUUGAGAUUUUUAAUUAUUUGUUAUGAUGGUUAUGAAUUUUUGUUAAUUAUUAUUGUUGUGAUUUUUAUUUGUUAUUGCAUUUAUUAUUCCUAAGAAUAUGUCUAAUGUUCAUUGUUGCAUUGUGCAUUAGCAUCAUCAACAUUAGACAUGUUGGAUAAUGAGGAAACAGUGUGUUUCACCCAAAGCACCUGUGUUAAUGAGGGCCUUAUUACAGUAAAACUCAUUUAUAACGAAGUCACUGGGACUAAUGACAUUACUUUGCUAUAUCCAUAAUUUGUUAAAUCCAUGUAAUGAUUUCAGCAAAAUUUAUAUAGCUAGGGAUUCAAGAUAACUGCUAUAUCUGUGAAUUCACAAUAUCUGUGUUUGUACCAAACAAGUUUUACUCAGUAUCUAUUAUUUCAGCUCUAUUUUAAAAUUUUGUUAGUAUUUUAUAGUUGGACAAUUCACUAAAGAAGAAGAGAAAUAAGCCAAAUUCUAAACCAUCAUCGAUAAGGGCAUGGCAUGGUGGAAACAGCUGGAGGAGAUAGGGCCAUUGGAUGCUAAUCUUCCAAGAUGUGGAAACAGCAGGUGUCCUCAACAAGACGUGUAACAGCAGAAGCACCCAACUGGACAUUGAUAGAAACAACUUGAUGAUGCAUAGCCAGUACUUGCUGAUCUUCCAAGAUGUGGAAACAGCAAAUGCACCCAACAGUACAUGGUGAAAACAGUAGAUGAACCCAAAAGGACCUGAUAGAAACAACUGGAGGAUGAAUAGCCAAAGGAUGCUGAUCUGACAUUUAUCAGCUGCAGCCAACAGAACCUUGUGGAAACAACUGGAAUAGACAAGCUUGAUGAACCUCUUUUAAGAUGGGAAAACAGCAAAUACUUCUGAAAGGACUUAGUGAAAUAAAUCUUGAGGAGGCAAGGCCAUUAUGAAUCUUGAGGCAAACUUGAUGGAUAAUGAUUUUCCAAUAUGUGAAAACACCAGCUACACCCAAAAGGAAUUGGUGGAAAGAUGGGAAAACAACAAAUACUUCUAAAAAGACUUUGUGAAAUAAAUCUUGAGGAGACAAGGUCAUUAUUAAUAUUGCGGCAAACUUGAUGGACAAUGAUUAUCCAAUAUGUGAAAACACCAGCUACACCCAAAAGGAAUUGGUGGAAAGAUGGGAAACAGCAAAUACUUCUAAAACGACUUAGUGAAAUAAAUCUUGAGGAGGCAAGGCCAUUAUGAAUCUUGAGGCAAACUUGAUGGACAAUGAUAAUCCAAUAUGUGAAAACACCAGCUACACCCAAAAGGAAUUGGUGGAAACAAUAAACACAGACAAGCUUGAUGGACAAUGAUCUUCAAAAUGUAGAUGUUCCCAACAAGACUUGGUGGAAACACCCGGAGGACAAUUUAUGCCUGAUGGAUGUUGACUUUUUCACCAAGACAUACCACAGUGAAUAGCUGAUACUGAUCAGAAAAUCAAAGGAACUUCUAGAAGGAACAUCCUUGAGAUCAUGUGUGUGGAUGAAGAAGCAGGAAUUAAUUAAUGAUUAAUCCACACCUUUAAAGCACUGAUGUAAAUCCAUUUUAGCAACAAUUUUUUCUUCAAAGACUAUUUUAAAAAUAUAAAUUUUUGUAAAGGGUGUCCGAAUUAUGUCAGGGUAUGGGGUCACCCAUUCGGACACGUGGGUUCUCUACGGGUACUCCGUCUUCCUCCCACACUGACCCCAGCUUUCUCUUUCUUCUUCAUUAGCUAUAUUAGAUUCAUAUUGUUAAGAUGAAGUAGUUGAAGGCUAGUUGUAAGUAGGUUUUAUCGAUACCCUGGGGCAUUACUGGUUGGAACUUAAGUUCCUUCGCCGCCAUGGUAGCCAGGCUGGCCUGGGGAGGAGAAGCUGAAAGGGACUAGUUGGAGGCUGCUUUGUCUUUAAUUAUCUUUUUAUUAUUAUGCCAAUGAGAAAAUGCUUCAUUAUUGUAAUUGAUUUGAUGAAGUUAAAUAUGUUUCCGCUGAUGUAAUGAUUGUUUAAUAGGACAUAAGUAUUCAUAGAAUAUGUGUAAAUUCUGUCAACUGUUGUAGAAAGAAUAAUUUGUAUUUGUAUUGUCACCUUUUCGUUAUUAGCUUGUAUUGAAAUUGAAUGCUCUAUAUAUACUGAUGUGACUAAAUAUGCAGUGAAAGAAAUGAAUAAAAAAUUGUACAAUUGCAUUUGAAAACGUAAAAUAGUGAUUUUUGUCAAUGACAAAUGUUAAAUUGCCGGUGAUUUGUAAAUGUUAAUUUGUGAUUUGUUAAUGUUAAAUCAAUGAUUUAAAAUGUUAAAUUGUGAUUGUUUAAUGCAAUUGUAAAUUGUUGAUGUGAAAAUGUGAAUUGUCAUGUUGAAUUUUGAAUUGUAAAUUUGAAAUUAUUUUUAUCUCAUUGGCAAGUUUUGUGCCAAAAAAAAAAAAAAAAAAAAAAAAAAAAAAAAAAAAAAAAAAAAAAAAAAAAAAAAAAAAAAUUAAAAUAAAACAAAA